rnacentral:piRNA from 1 species
UGCUACUUCUUAGAAGCUGUAUACAGCUCUCG